CAGUCGCCGCGGUAACACCAGCACCUCGAGUGGUCAGGAGGUUUAUUGGGCCUAAAGCAUCCGUAGCCGGUUGCAUAAGUUUUCGGUUAAAUCUAUGCGCUUAACGUAUAGGCCGCCGAAAAUACUGUGCAGCUAGGGAGUGGGAGAGGUACACGGUACUCGAUAGGAAGGGGUAAAAUCCUUUGAUCUAUUGAUGACCACCUGUGGCGAAAGCGGCUCACUGGACCAUAACUGACGCUGAGGCACGAAAGCUAGGGGAGCAAACAGGAUUAGAUACCCCCGUAGUCCCUGUCUCUUAUAC
rnacentral:rRNA from 1 species